GUAUAACUUUUGGUAUUAACCGCCAUUUUGCAAUGGCUUGCGUUCGAUUCGACUUCGCGCUAAAAAAGACAAUUCACCAGUGUUUGUAAUGAUAUUGGCGAUGCAUUACUCUCGUCUUGCAUCUCUUCGCUAAUGAUCCUUCCGCAGGUUCACCUACGGAAA
rnacentral:misc_RNA from 1 species